rnacentral:rRNA from 1 species
UACGAAGGGGGCUAGCGUUGCUCGGAAUUACUGGGCGUAAAGGGCGCGUAGGCGGCCUGGUCAGUCGGAUGUGAAAGCCCGGGGCUCAACCCCGGAACGGCAUCCGAGACGGCCAGGCUGGAGACCGGGAGAGGAGAGUGGAAUAGCCAGUGUAGAGGUGAAAUUCGUAGAUAUUGGCUGGAACACCGGUGGCGAAAGCGGCUCUCUGGCCCGGUUCUGACGCUGAGGCGCGAAAGCGUGGGGAGCAAACAGG